rnacentral:rRNA from 1 species
GACGAACGCUGGCGGCGUGCUUAACACAUGCAAGUCGAACGGAAAGGCCCUGCUUUUGUGGGGUGCUCGAGUGGCGAACGGGUGAGUAACACGUGAGUAACCUGCCCUUGACUUUGGGAUAACUUCAGGAAACUGGGGCUAAUACCGGAUAGGAGCUCCUGCUGCAUGGUGGGGGUUGGAAAGUUUCGGCGGUGGUGGAUGGACUCGCGGCUUAUCAGCUGGUUGGUGGGGUAGUGGCUUACCAAGGCUUUGACGGGUAGCCGGCCUGAGAGGCUGACCGGCCACAUUGGGACUGAGAUACGGCCCAGACUCCUACGGGAGGCAGCAGUGGGGAAUAUUGCACAAUGGGCGGAAGCCUGAUGCAGCAACGCCGCGUGCGGGAUGACGGCCUUCGGGUUGUAAACCGCUUUCGCCUGUGACGAAGCGUGAGUGACGGUAAUGGGUAAAGAAGCACCGGCUAACUACGUG